rfam:Marssonina brunnea f. sp. &apos;multigermtubi&apos; MB_m1 unplaced genomic scaffold M6_S00011, whole genome shotgun sequence.
GGACCGUUGGCCCAAUGGCAAGGCGUUUGACUUCGAUUGUUUCAUCCCUUAACUUCCCUAAUCAAAAGAUUGCAGGUUCGAUCCCUGCACGGUCCU